GGGGAUGUCCUCGACGGUGAAACAAAUCCUGACUCCUUGACAACUUCUGACCAUCAGUAAAUCGGCCUGCCAGACCCAGGCUUCAGAGUAGGAGGUCUCCAAGUGCCUGGAGCACCUCCUGGGGCAGUGAGAGAGAGAGACCGAGCCCUUCCCCUGGUGGUCAGAGCUUGUUUCUCCACCUUGCUGAGAUACGGUGUGCUAGGAGAGGAAUUCAAGAACACAGGAUCUUUCAUUCGCCCCUGUUGCCCACAUAGUAUCGGCAGAAAAGAAAGGGAAAAAAGAAAAAUCAAGUCCUGAGACGUCAUCCCAGGGCGGAUGGAGAACCAGACUCGCUCGGGUCUCCAGGAAGAUCCCACGGCCGGCUUCGCCCCCGCCCCCACUCCGCCAGACACUCGAGGCUCCACCGCAGAUGCUCAGACCCUUCAGAAACGUAACACCAAGGAGGGGAAGGCUAGCGAGUUCCCAGAGCCUCUCAGGCACGCGGUCUCUCUACCCACCGGCAGCGCCUUAAAUACCAGAGGACUUGCCAAAGAUGGAACUGUUUUGUUGGGAGCUCGGGUUUCUCCCGCCGCGAGGCUGAGCCGGUGGCGCAGCUGCUCAGAGGUCAC
ensembl:lncRNA